CUAAAAGCUCGGAGGCGAGCUACUUAUCGGAAGAAAAAAGAGGAUGCCGCCGUCAAGCAUCUACAUGAAAAUCUGCCUGCCCUUGCGAUAUCAGAUGUGCAAAAUGUUCAUAGGCCCGCUCUCGGUGAUAUCACUAAUGGGUAUAAAACAUCCUCUGUGGACCUUGACGAUAAAAGGGAAGAGAUAAAAGCUCGGAGGCGAGCUAUUUAUCGAAAGAAAAAAGAUGAGGCCGCCGUCAAGCAUCUACAUGAAAAUCUGCCUGCCCUUACGGUAUCAGCCAACCCAACUAGGUCGAGCAAUACAUCAUUGUCACAUGAUGAUGCAGUAUUGCCUCCUUCCACUACACUCAGGUGUCUUAACAAACGAGCAAAUUGAGCAGAGAAACGCGUGGAGGCGAGCAAGUUAUCGGAAAAAAGUGGGUGACGGAACGAUCGAUCUUCAACAAAAAAAUCAGAAGCUGCAAGAAUGGCGCAUGCAACACCCUAAAACCAUGACUCUGGAUGAGAGGGGGAGUCAAGUGCAAAGAGAAAGGCAAAGUAUGCUGCAAAGAAAAACACCCCGUGUGCUGAAUCGAUCGCAAUGCCACGUCUAGAUCUAACUAGCACAUUGUCCAACCCUCAUGCACAUUGUCCGACUCUCACGCUUUCAACCCUCGCGCAACAAUACAGUGAACAAAUAGAACAUGCUCCUACUGUCAAUGCUGUCCCCACAUACAUUCGCAACACCGAAACCGAUGGCAGUUAUCCUAUCAACCAUCAUGUUUCAUCAUGUAGGUGCACACCUAAGCAGAUAUUUACAAUGAUUCGAUAAUGUUGUAGGUGCAUACCUAAGCAGAACCUUCGGUGAUGGUGCUAUAGAUGGCGACAUCAUCGAAAUCAAUGAGCACCUACAAAGUGCCGACCAGCAAACCAGUGAUUCGGUAACAAUAGCGGAUAACGGAGUGGACGAGCAGAGUCAUGAGUCCAGAGCUCGGUG